GUUUUUAUAAUUUAAUUAAAAUAGUGAUCUUGUAAAUCAAAAUUGAGAUAUCCUCUAAAGACU
rnacentral:tRNA from 1 species